UUGGAGGGCAAGUCUGGUGCCAGCAGCCGCGGUAAUUCCAGCUCCAAUAGCGUAUAUUAAAGUUGUUGCAGUUAAAAAGCUCGUAGUUGAAUUUCGGGAUCAAUAUGUCGGUCGUGCCUCGGUACGUACUGGUAUCAUUGGUUUCUCCCUUCUGAUGAACCAUGAUGCCAUUAAUUUGGUGUCGUGGGGAAUCAGGACUGUUACUUUGAAAAAAUUAGAGUGUUUAAAGCAGGCUCACGCUUGAAUACAUUAGCAUGGAAUAAUGAAAUAGGACGUUUGAUUCUAUUUUGUUGGUUUCUAGGAUCGACGUAAUGAUUAAUAGGGAUAGUUGGGGGCAUUAGUAUUCAAUUGUCAGAGGUGAAAUUCUUGGAUUUAUUGAAGACUAACUACUGCGAAAGCAUUUGCCAAGGAUGUUUUCAUUAAUCAAGAACGAAAGAUAGGGGAUCGAAGACGAUCAGAUACCGUCGUAGUCUUAACCAUAAACUAUGCCGACUAGGGAUCGGAUGAUGUUAAUUUUUUAAUGACUCAUUCGGCGCCUUACGGGAAACCAAAGUGUUUGGGUU
rnacentral:rRNA from 1 species